rnacentral:rRNA from 1 species
GAUGAACGCUGGCGGCGUGCCUAAUACAUGCAAGUCGAGCGAACAGAUAAGGAGCUUGCUCCUUUGACGUUAGCGGCGGACGGGUGAGUAACACGUGGGUAACCUACCUAUAAGACUGGUAUAACUCCGGGAAACCGGGGCUAAUGCCGGAUAACAUUUAGAACCGCAUGGUUCUAAAGUGAAAGAUGGUUUUGCUAUCACUUAUAGAUGGACCCGCGCCGUAUUAGCUAGUUGGUGAGGUAACGGCUUACCAAGGCAACGAUACGUAGCCGACCUGAGAGGGUGAUCGGCCACACUGGAACUGAGACACGGUCCAGACUCCUACGGGAGGCAGCAGUAGGGAAUCUUCCGCAAUGGGCGAAAGCCUGACGGAGCAACGCCGCGUGAGUGAUGAAGGUCUUCGGAUCGUAAAACUCUGUUAUUAGGGAAGAACAAAUGUGUAAGUAACUGUGCACGUCUUGACGGUACCUAAUCAGAAAGCCACGGCUAACUACGUG